rfam:Lingula anatina scaffold1709, whole genome shotgun sequence.
GUGCUAUGAGGAAAAGAAAUAUUUGCUAUCUGAACAGCAUGAUGUUAAAAAAUCUACCACCUAGAUCUCUGAGCAC